rnacentral:rRNA from 1 species
GGGCAACUUGUCCUCGAGACCGGAAUAACCACGGGAAACUGUGGCUAAUGCCGGAUGGCCCCAUAAGGACACAAGUCCUCUUGGGUAAAUGGUAGGGAUCUUCGGACCUUCCGCUCGAGGAGAGGCUCAUGCGCUAUCAGCUUGUUGGUGAGGUAAAGGCUCACCAAGGCGGAGACGGCUAGGCGGUCUGAGAGGACGGCCGCCCACAUCGGGACUGAGACACUGCCCGG